GAUGAACGCUGGCGGCGUGCCUAAUACAUGCAAGUCGAGCGAACAGACGAGGAGCUUGCUCCUCUGACGUUAGCGGCGGACGGGUGAGUAACACGUGGAUAACCUACCUAUAAGACUGGGAUAACUUCGGGAAACCGGAGCUUAUACCGGAUAAUAUAUUGCACCGUAUGGUUCAAUAGUGAAAGACGGUUUUGCUGUCUCUUCUAGAUGGAUCCACGCCGCAUUAGCUAGUUGGUAAGGUAACGGCUUACCACGGCAACGAUGCGUAGCCGACGGGAGAGGGUGAUCGGCCACCCUGGAGCUCGACCACGGUCCAGCCGCCUACGGGACGCAGCAGUAGGCAAUCUUCCGCAAUGGGCGAAAGCCUGACGGAGCAGCGCCGCGUGAGUUAUGAAGGUCCUCGGAUCGGAAAACUCUGUUAUGAGGUAAGAACAAAUGUGGAAGUAACUAUGCACGUCUUGACGGUACCUAAUCAGAAAGCCACGGCUAACUACGUG
rnacentral:rRNA from 1 species